rnacentral:tRNA from 1 species
GGGGUAUUAGCUCAGUAGUAGAGCACUUAACCAGCAUGGAUGAGGCCCUAGGAUCAAAUCCUUGGUACUUUA